rnacentral:tRNA from 1 species
GCGGGUAUGGCGGAAUAGGCAGACGCAUAGGACUUAAAAUCCUAGGGUGGAAACACCAUACGGGUUCGAUUCCCGUUACCCGCA